rnacentral:rRNA from 1 species
GGUUAAGCGACUAAGCGUACACGGUGGAUGCCCUGGCAGUCAGAGGCGAUGAAGGACGUGCUAAUCUGCGAUAAGCGUCGGUAAGGUGAUAUGAACCGUUAUAACCGGCGAUUUCCGAAUGGGGAAACCCAGUGUGUUUCGACACACUAUCAUUAACUGAAUCCAUAGGUUAAUGAGGCGAACCGGGGGAACUGAAACAUCUAAGUACCCCGAGGAAAAGAAAUCAACCGAGAUUCCCCCAGUAGCGGCGAGCGAACGGGGAGCAGCCCAGAGCCUGAAUCAGUGUGUGUGUUAGUGGAAGCGUCUGGAAAGGCGCGCGAUACAGGGUGACAGCCCCGUACACAAAAAUGCACAUGCUGUGAGCUCGAUGAGUAGGGCGGGACACGUGGUAUCCUGUCUGAAUAUGGGGGGACCAUCCUCCAAGGCUAAAUACUCCUGACUGACCGAUAGUGAACCAGUACCGUGAGGGAAAGGCGAAAAGAACCCCGGCGAGGGGAGUGAAAAAGAACCUGAAACCGUGUACGUACAAGCAGUGGGAGCCUCUUUUAUGGGGUGACUGCGUACCUUUUGUAUAAUGGGUCAGCGACUUAUAUUCUGUAGCAAGGUUAACCGAAUAGGGGAGCCGAAGGGAAACCGAGUCUUAACUGGGCGUUAAGUUGCAGGGUAUAGACCCGAAACCCGGUGAUCUAGCCAUGGGCAGGUUGAAGGUUGGGUAACACUAACUGGAGGACCGAACCGACUAAUGUUGAAAAAUUAGCGGAUGACUUGUGGCUGGGGGUGAAAGGCCAAUCAAACCGGGAGAUAGCUGGUUCUCCCCGAAAGCUAUUUAGGUAGCGCCUCGUGAAUUCAUCUCCGGGGGUAGAGCACUGUUUCGGCAAGGGGGUCAUCCCGACUUACCAACCCGAUGCAAACUGCGAAUACCGGAGAAUGUUAUCACGGGAGACACACGGCGGGUGCUAACGUCCGUCGUGAAGAGGGAAACAACCCAGACCGCCAGCUAAGGUCCCAAAGUCAUGGUUAAGUGGGAAACGAUGUGGGAAGGCCCAGACAGCCAGGAUGUUGGCUUAGAAGCAGCCAUCAUUUAAAGAAAGCGUAAUAGCUCACUGGUCGAGUCGGCCUGCGCGGAAGAUGUAACGGGGCUAAACCAUGCACCGAAGCUGCGGCAGCGACGCUUAUGCGUUGUUGGGUAGGGGAGCGUUCUGUAAGCCUGUGAAGGUGUGCUGUGAGGCAUGCUGGAGGUAUCAGAAGUGCGAAUGCUGACAUAAGUAACGAUAAAGCGGGUGAAAAGCCCGCUCGCCGGAAGACCAAGGGUUCCUGUCCAACGUUAAUCGGGGCAGGGUGAGUCGACCCCUAAGGCGAGGCCGAAAGGCGUAGUCGAUGGGAAACAGGUUAAUAUUCCUGUACUUGGUGUUACUGCGAAGGGGGGACGGAGAAGGCUAUGUUGGCCGGGCGACGGUUGUCCCGGUUUAAGCGUGUAGGCUGGUUUUCCAGGCAAAUCCGGAAAAUCAAGGCUGAGGCGUGAUGACGAGGCACUACGGUGCUGAAGCAACAAAUGCCCUGCUUCCAGGAAAAGCCUCUAAGCAUCAGGUAACAUCAAAUCGUACCCCAAACCGACACAGGUGGUCAGGUAGAGAAUACCAAGGCGCUUGAGAGAACUCGGGUGAAGGAACUAGGCAAAAUGGUGCCGUAACUUCGGGAGAAGGCACGCUGAUAUGUAGGUGAAGUCCCUCGCGGAUGGAGCUGAAAUCAGUCGAAGAUACCAGCUGGCUGCAACUGUUUAUUAAAAACACAGCACUGUGCAAACACGAAAGUGGACGUAUACGGUGUGACGCCUGCCCGGUGCCGGAAGGUUAAUUGAUGGGGUCAGCGCAAGCGAAGCUCUUGAUCGAAGCCCCGGUAAACGGCGGCCGUAACUAUAACGGUCCUAAGGUAGCGAAAUUCCUUGUCGGGUAAGUUCCGACCUGCACGAAUGGCGUAAUGAUGGCCAGGCUGUCUCCACCCGAGACUCAGUGAAAUUGAACUCGCUGUGAAGAUGCAGUGUACCCGCGGCAAGACGGAAAGACCCCGUGAACCUUUACUAUAGCUUGACACUGAACAUUGAGCCUUGAUGUGUAGGAUAGGUGGGAGGCUUUGAAGUGUGGACGCCAGUCUGCAUGGAGCCGACCUUGAAAUACCACCCUUUAAUGUUUGAUGUUCUAACGUUGACCCGUAAUCCGGGUUGCGGACAGUGUCUGGUGGGUAGUUUGACUGGGGCGGUCUCCUCCUAAAGAGUAACGGAGGAGCACGAAGGUUGGCUAAUCCUGGUCGGACAUCAGGAGGUUAGUGCAAUGGCAUAAGCCAGCUUGACUGCGAGCGUGACGGCGCGAGCAGGUGCGAAAGCAGGUCAUAGUGAUCCGGUGGUUCUGAAUGGAAGGGCCAUCGCUCAACGGAUAAAAGGUACUCCGGGGAUAACAGGCUGAUACCGCCCAAGAGUUCAUAUCGACGGCGGUGUUUGGCACCUCGAUGUCGGCUCAUCACAUCCUGGGGCUGAAGUAGGUCCCAAGGGUAUGGCUGUUCGCCAUUUAAAGUGGUACGCGAGCUGGGUUUAGAACGUCGUGAGACAGUUCGGUCCCUAUCUGCCGUGGGCGCUGGAGAACUGAGGGGGGCUGCUCCUAGUACGAGAGGACCGGAGUGGACGCAUCACUGGUGUUCGGGUUGUCAUGCCAAUGGCACUGCCCGGUAGCUAAAUGCGGAAGAGAUAAGUGCUGAAAGCAUCUAAGCACGAAACUUGCCCCGAGAUGAGUUCUCCCUGACCCUUUAAGGGUCCUGAAGGAACGUUGAAGACGACGACGUUGAUAGGCCGGGUGUGUAAGCGCAGCGAUGCGUUGAGCUAACCGGUACUAAUGAACCGUGAGGCUUAACCUU